rnacentral:piRNA from 1 species
UGGAUGGGGACACGUCUUGAGACGUGUGUC